GAGUUUGAUCAUGGCUCAGGAUGAACGCUAGCGGCAGGCCUAACACAUGCAAGUCGAGGGGCAGCACGAUUGAGCUUGCUUAAUUGGUGGCGACCGGCGCACGGGUGCGUAACGCGUAUGCAACCUACCUUAUACUGGGGUAUAGCCCGGAGAAAUUCGGAUUAAUCCCCCAUAGUAUUAUCGGAUCGCAUGGUUUGAUAAUUAAAGGUUACGGUAUAAGAUGGGCAUGCGUCCCAUUAGCUAGAUGGUGAGGUAACGGCUCACCAUGGCGACGAUGGGUAGGGGGCCUGAGAGGGUGGUCCCCCACACUGGUACUGAGACACGGACCAGACUCCUACGGGAGGCAGCAGUGAGGAAUAUUGGUCAAUGGGCGCAAGCCUGAACCAGCCAUGCCGCGUGCAGGAAGACGGUCCUAUGGAUUGUAAACUGCUUUUAUUCGGGAAUAAACCUCUUUACGUGUAGAGAGCUGAAGGUACCGAAUGAAUAAGCACCGGCUAACUCCGUGCCAGCAGCCGCGGUAAUACGGAGGGUGCAAGCGUUAUCCGAAAUCAUUGGGUUUAAAGGGUCCGCAGGCGGUCUUAUAAGUCAGUGGUGAAAGCCUACAGCUCAACUGUAGAACUGCCAUUGAUACUGUAAGACUUGAAUUCGGUCGAAGUGGGCGGAUAUGACAUGUAGCGGUGAAUGC
rnacentral:rRNA from 1 species